GCCUGCCCAGUGACUCUGUUCAACGGCCGCGGUAUCCUAACCGUGCGAAGGUAGCGUAAUCACUUGUUCUUUAAUUGUGGACUAGUAUGAAUGGCACCACGAGGGCUAUACUGUCUCCUUUUUCCAAUCAGUGAAACUAAUCUCCCCGUGAAGAAGCGGGAAUAAUCUUAUAAGACGAGAAGACCCUAUGGAGCUUCAAACAAUAUAGCAAUUAUUAUACAUACUCAUUUCCCAGAACACAAAUAUUAAAAUUUUAUGACUAUAAGCUUUUGGUUGGGGUGACCGCGGAGCAUAAUAUAACCUCCAUGCUGAAAGAAAUAUUCUAAGCUAAGAAUUACCUCUCAAAGCAUCAACAUAUUGACACCCAUUGACCCAAUACAUUUGAUCAACGAACCAAGUUACCCUAGGGAUAACAGCGCA
rnacentral:rRNA from 1 species